UUCACCUUUCACCGCUUCACCCCGCUAUAUAACCGAUUGCCCCACUGGCGCAAGAAAAUCAUAAACCCUAAUCUCAUAACAAAUCCAGUCUCUAGAAACUUCUCUCUCCCCAGUUUUCAAUCAUGGCCAACCCCAAGGUUUUCUUCGACAUGACCGUCGGCGGCCAGCCAGCCGGCAGGAUCGUGAUGGAGCUCUACGCCGAUGUCGUCCCCAAGACUGCCGAGAACUUCCGCGCCCUCUGCACCGGCGAGAAGGGAGUCGGCAAGUGCGGGAAGCCCCUCCACUACAAGGGAUCCAGCUUCCACCGUGUGAUCCCCAAGUUCAUGUGCCAGGGAGGUGACUUCACCGCCG
rnacentral:lncRNA from 1 species